GGCGGUCCUGUAGCUGGGCCGGCUUGGGGCUUGGUUCUAUGUCCCUGCGGGUCGGUGCGAGGGCGAAGAGGAACCCGUGGGCCUCGGGGGAUCCCGGGGGGCCGGAUCAGUGUCCCCUAGUUGUGGGAGCAGACGCGUGGGUGCAUCGCGGGCGGGCAAGGCCUGAAGUGCAGGUGCGGGCCGCGGACCCUGGCGGGGGCUGAGAGGAUAGGCGUGGGGUCCCGGCAGUGAAGCGGGUUCUAGAGGCGCAGGAGCGGGUAGGCGAGGCCAGUGGCCCUAGGCCCGGAGUCUCCAGGCCGCGCUCCUGUCCUGCCGCUGAGGGACCCGGUUACGAACCCGCAUGACGCUCAGUUUCCCAUCUGUCCCAGUGCUAACACACAGUUCUCGGGAGACGUUCCCCAUUCCCAGAGGAGUAGUGUGAAACGCGUGCGCCUCUAGUCUUAAACUUGGCGUUUGUAUUAGUUGGGUUUCCUGGUGUCUCUUUAGCAAGUGAAAUUUCUGGUUCCCUCCUUCACUGUGUGACCUGCCUAGUCCUCCUGGGUUGCAUUUACAGAAGUUUAUAUGAGAACUAGUUUCCAGGGAAGAACUCACUGAUUCCGCGAGGGAGAUGGCGUAGUGGAUGAUGGUCUUCAGCCUUAAGGGUACUUCAGUCUUAACUGUGUGUUACAAAGUUUGAAAGGGAGGGUUCCCUAUGAAUAAGAAGCGCACUUGAAAGAACAGCUGUCUGGUCUAACCUCUCACUGGUGCUUCAGAGGAGGAAAAAAGGUCACAGCUAUGUUUCCAGUGUCCUCUGGGUGUUUCCAAGAGCAACAAGAAAUUAAUAAAUCUCUGCCAUAGGAGUUUUAGCCAAUUCAGAGGACUUGCUCCCCACAAUUUGGAAAAUUCCUUUGGAUUUGACCAAGUCAGGAAGAGACGGGAGAAAAGUGAAACAACAACAAUAAAGCCCCAAGUAUAAACAAACAAAAAGAGUUAAGCAAAACAACAAAUGCACAAUUCAUAUGAUUACUGAGUGUUCUAAUGGUAAGGAGAAACUAAAAGCAGAAAUUAAAAGCAGCUGGUGAGUAAUCUUAAAUUUUAGUCAUUAAGGAAAAAUUUUAAGACAAAACUCUAAUUCAGCUACUUACCUGGAAACAAGGCUCAGGCUGGUGAUCGUUCUCUGCCAUCUUAGAAGCUGGAAAUAACUUACACUCACCUUCCCUGUCAGAAGCAAGCUGAAACUCGGGAAAGGAGGUGCCUGCUCUCCAUCACCACAGAAGCAGGAAAACUUGCCUUUGUUAUGCCCAGACCGUUAGUUCCCCAAAGAAGACCACCAGAGUCCAGAGUCAAAGCCAAGCGGCAAGGAUCUUUACUAUAAGUUCGAACCUGGUCCCUCCAUUCCACAGCAUACAAGAGGGCCCUGAACAAUGCGAGUGUUUGCUUUUUAUAGCUUGAAAGUUACAGGGGAACAAAGGAAUUCUUUUGGUUCCCGCUCUUUCAGUAAAACUUUGAACAGCUGUCCCCUUAUCGGAGACUUUCCUGGUGGUGUUUGUACUGGGCUCAGGAAGUUUGAGAGAUAUAUGGCGAUAUGUGGUGGGAUGGGAGGAUGGGAUGUGUUUGUACUGGGCUUGUUUGUUUUGAGCCCGGGGCUGAGGAAUGUGCCCGGCUCCUUUCACCUUCCUUGUUGGAAAUGAGUAAAACUUCAGAAAAGGAGUUGUACAGCAAAAUCAAACUUAGAUCUCAACCAGAUUUUGGGAGAUCAGGGACUCUUUGCAGGGGAGAAGCUCCACAACCUCAGCAAAUUAUCCUGUUGGUUUGGGCAAUAAAGAUAGCCCAGGUUGGUAUCAAUCAAUAAUGAGAUUUAUCAAAGGUCAGGACCACCUUUGUAAUGUCCUUCUCUGUCUUUUUUUAUCUUUAUUGGUAUAUACGUUUUGUCGAAACUGGGAGUGUAACACCUGAUUUCUUCUGUUUUCCAUUUGCUUGAAAGAUUUUUCACCAUUCCUUCAUUUUGAGCCUAUGUAUGGCACUGCAUGUGAGAUGGGUUUCUUGGAGACGGCAUACUCAAAUGGGUCUUGGUUCUUUAUCCAGCUUGCCCCCCUGUGUCUUUCAAUCAGAGCAUUUAGCCCAUUUCCAUUUAAGGUUAGUAAUGGUAUGUGUGGAUUAGAUCCUGUCGUCAUGCUGUCAGCUAGUUAUUUUGCAGACUUGUGUAUGUGGUUGGUUUUUAGCAUUACUGGUCUGUGUACUUCAGUGCAUUUUUGUAGUGGCUGGUGAUGGUCUUUUCUUUCCAUAUUUAGUGCUUCAUUCAGGAGCUCUUGUAAGGUAGAUCUGGUGAUAAUGAAUUCUCUCAGCAUUUGCUUGUCUGAAAAGGAUCUUGUUUCUCCUUCACUUAUGAUGCUUAAUUUUGCUGGACAUGAAAUUCUGGGUUGAAAUUUCUUUUUCUUUUAACCAUUUAUAAUAACACCAUGUUAUUAUAUGGUAUAUCUGUCUCUGCCAUACUACGUGAAAUUUCUUUUCCUUAAGAAGUUGAAUAUCUUUUCUGGCUUGUAGGGUUUCAGCUGAGAAGUCUGCUAAGGCUGAUGGAAUUCCCUUUGCAGGUGACGUUGCCUUUCUCCCUAGCUGCCUUUAACAUUGUUUCUUUCAUUUUGACCUUGGAGAAUCUGAUGAUUAUAUGUCUUGGGGAUGAUCUUCUCGUGGCUUAUCUUACUGAGGUUCUCUGGAUUUCCUGAAUUGGAAUGUUGGCCUGUCUGGAUAGGUUGGGGAUAUUCUCAUGAAUGAUAUUCUGAAGUAUGUUUUCCAAGUUGGUUCCAUUCUCCUCAUCUCUUUCACGUACACUAAUCAGAAAUAGAUUUGGUCGUUUAUAUAAUCUCAUAUUUCUUGGAUGUUUUGUUCAUUCAUUUUCCUUCUUUUUCCCCCCAUUCUUGUCUGCCUGUUUUAUUUCAGAAAGCCGGUUUUCAAGCUCUGGGAUUCUUUCCUCUGCUUGGUCUAUUCUGCUGGGUGGUCUUGCACAUGAGAUGGAGUUGG